GUUGUUGCGGUUAAAAAGCUCGUAGUCGAAUUUGUGUUCCGCGCCGCCGGUUCAUCGUUCGCGGUGUUAACUGGCGUUUUGCGGGACGUCCUGCCGGUGGACUUAGCUCGCGAGAGCGGUCCAAUUUAAUCCCGCCGCGGUGCUCUUCACUGAGUGUCGAGGUGGGCCGGCACGUUUACUUUGAACAAAUUAGAGUGCUUAAAGCAGGCUGAAAUUUUGCCUGAAUACUGUGUGCAUGGAAUAAUAGAAUAGGACCUCGGUUCUAUUUUGUUGGUUUUCGGAACCCCGAGGUAAUGAUUAAUAGGAACGGAUGGGGGCAUUCGUAUUGCGACGUUAGAGGUGAAAUUCUUGGAUCGUCGCAAGACGGACAGAAGCGAAAGCAUUUGCCAAAAACGCUUUCAUUGAUCAAGAACGAAAGUUAGAGGUUCGAAGGCGAUCAGAUACCGCCCUAGUUCUAACCAUAAACGAUGCCAGCUAGCGAUCCGCCGACGUUCCUCCGAUGACUCGGCGGGCAGCUUCCGGGAAACCAAAGCUUUUGGGUUCCGGGGGAAGUAUGGUUGCAAAGCUGAAACUUAAAGGAAUUGACGGAAGGGCACCACCAGGAGUGGAGCCUGCGGCUUAAUUUGACUCAACACGGGAAACCUCACCAGGCCCGGACACCGGAAGGAUUGACAGAUUGAGAGCUCUUUCUUGAUUCGGUGGGUGGUGGUGCAUGGCCGUUCUUAGUUGGUGGAGCGAUUUGUCUGGUUAAUUCCGAUAACGAACGAGACUCUGGCCUGCUAAAUAGGCGUAUUAGACAUCCUAAAGGCCCGCUCGUCCGGAGUUCGCUUCGUGGCUAGCGCGGUUUUUACUGUCUGCGUACAUAUUAUUCUUCUUAGAGGGACAGGCGGCUUCUAGCCGCACGAGAUUGAGCAAUAACAGGUCUGUGAUGCCCUUAGAUGUUCUGGGCCGCACGCGCGCUACACUGAAGGAAUCAGCGUGUCUUCCCUGGCCGAACGGUCCGGGUAACCCGCUGAACCUCCUUCGUGCUAGGGAUUGGGGCUUGCAAUUGUUCCCCAUGAACGAGGAAUUCCCAGUAAGCGCGAGUCAUAAGCUCGCGUUGAUUACGUCCCUGCCCUUUGUACACACCGCCCGUCGCUACUACCGAUUGAAUGAUUUAGUGAGGUCUUCGGACUGCGGCGCGAUGGCGUUUCGACGUUAUCGAUGUUGUUAGAAAGAUGACCAAACUUGAUCAUUUAGAGGAAGUAAAAGUCGUAACAAGGUUUCC
rnacentral:rRNA from 1 species